CAUCCCGGCGGGCGGAGGGCGGCGCGUGCACGAGCGAGCGGCCGUGACGUGCGCCGCUCUACGCCCGACGUCACGGGUCCGUGUGUAGUGGCGGCCGGGCUGCCUGCCCUCAGCGGCGGCGCCUGACGAGGGUGCUGCGGCCGCUGGGCGCAGCGUUCGAGGGGCGCACGGCCAGCAGCGGCGACGAGGACGACGACCAGUGCGCUUGGCGCCCCUGUCCGCGGAGUCGUCAUUCCCGCCUCUUCUACGGUCUCUGGCAGCGCGGGCCCGCGGCUUUCUCCUUUCCUGCCCAGCUCCCCGCGGGCCUCGGGGUUGCAGCAGCGAGGAGCGCCAGGAGGACCUGGCCGGCCGUGAGGAUUCACGCGCUCGCCACCCCGUUCGGCCCGGGCUUCAUGUGAAAGAGGGACGGGCCUGGCUCCCCGGCCAGUGCCGGACUCCUCGCGCGCCCCUCCGGCCCCCGGGGGCUCACCCCCGACCGGGCCACGGUGACAGGCCGCGCGGGGGUGGAGGGGCGGGUUCGGCGGGGGCGGCCCCUCCUUGGGCCUGCGGCUCUCUACGUCCCUGCGGAGCAGCUGGUAGCACUUACGGUGCUGUUACUCUGUGCCCGGCAGUUGUGCAUUCUCACUCUCCAUCUUCCUAGCCCAAUGGAGUGGGUAUAUUGCCCCAUUUUACAGCUGAAAACUUUGAGGCUCAGAGAAAUUAAGGCGUUUGUCCAAGGUCAUGAAGCUAGUAAUCCAGGAAGGCUUGGUUCGAAUAUGCGGAUGGCUUUUUGUAAGACUAUUUGUCGUCUUGCUAAAAUAAAUACGUGAAGAAAAUGAGACUGGGCAGUUUCUUUAAUGGGAAAAAUUCUAAACACAUAGGCAGAUACAGUUUACUUUUCCCUAACGUAGGUUCUUCGUUGUCUUUUGCCAAAUCAUUUCUUUGGCUUUAAAAAUAAAAAUAAGAUGGUUUCAGAUACCUUUACUUUCUAUGUACUGGUAUUGUACAGAAAAAAUUUACUCUCUUACAAAAAAGAAAUACACUUGGUGAAACUGCAUAGAUCUUGAAAAGUUACAAAUUGACUUUUGUAGUUUGUCCUUGAUGGCUAAAGGGAACUCACAGUGGGUUAUUUGCCUGAGAUUCCCUUGUUGCAAAAUUUGUUGCUGGAUUAUGUGGCAAUUUAGUGAUUUGUGCAUUGUCUUAUGCAAUAUUUUUUAGUUUGAUGUGAAAUUUUAAUGUGUAGAAUAUCGUAGAAAGUUUUAUGGUGUGAUUCUUUUUCAUUUAUAUGGAGCGCUACUAAUCAGUGUUUAUAAGCUAACUGAAAAUUCUCAUUUUAGCAUGGGUUGUUUUUUUUUUUUUUUUUUUUUUUUUUUAAAAAAAAACUAUGGUCAGGGGAAAAAAGGAGCCCAGAGCUCUGUACCGAAAAACAGUUGAUACAUUCCAUUGAGUAAUUGAAGCUUUAUGCAUAAUUGCAAAUGUUCAAGAAGUCUAUUGAUGCCCAGUUAUGCUAGUCUGUUAUUUUCCUAGUAUAUUAUCAGGUUGAAGAAAAUUUGUGGUCUUGCAGUCUCUGUAGAGAAAAGGUGAAAUUACAAAGUUAACAUGUGGAUGCUUUACAGAUUGAUUUGUUGUUUGGUUAAAACAUAAACAUAUGUUGAAUCAUUAUAGAAUGGUUAUCCAUGUGCCUGUUUUGAGAAACUAGCUGUUAAAGGCUUAUCUUAAAUAAUUGAAUUGCAUUAGAGACUGAAUCUUUUAAGUAAUGUUUUAAGUGGAGCUUUUGUUUCUCGUUUACUUUAUUAGUACCCAAGUGGUAAACUAAUAGGUGCUGUAUUAAAGUCAUGUUUGGUACCCUACAUUUCCUGCAGCAUUGGUUUCAGGUUGAUUUGCUCUUUCCCUACAGAAUUGUAGCUAUUUGCCCCACCUCCUACUUUUUAUUAAACAAUUUCAAGUAUACAGAAAAUUUGGUAAUAGUAAACCACUUGUAUGACGACGCUCUAGAUUAAACAUUUGUUGAUAUCUUCCCAUAUUUGGUUUAUCUUGCCAUAUUUGGUUUAAGUACAUGUACAAGCAUACCUUAGAGAGAUUGUGGCUUUUGGCUCCAGACCACUGCAAUAAAGCAAAUGAAGUGAGUCACAUAAAUUUUUUAGUUUCACAUUGCAUAUAAAGUUAUGUUUGCAAUAUACUGUAGUCUAUUGUGUGCAGUGGCAUUAUGUCUAAAAAAAUGUAUACUUUAAUUAAAAAUUAUUUAUUGCUAAA